UACGGGGGGGGCAAGCGUUGUUCGGAAUUACUGGGCGUAAAGGGCGCGUAGGCGGCUUCGGUAGUCAAGGGUGAAAGCCCCGAGCUCAACUCGGGAACUGCCUUUGAAACCACGGAGCUAGAGUGUUGGAGAGGAAAGCGGAAUUUCCAGUGUAGCGGUGAAAUGCGUAGAUAUUGGAAGGAACAUCUGAGGCGAAGGCGGCUUUCUGGACAGACACUGACGCUGAGGCGCGAAAGCUAGGGGAGCAAACGGGAUUAGAUACCCGCGUA
rnacentral:rRNA from 1 species